CAACCCUCGAGCCCCCGUCUUAGGGGGCCCGGCGUUGGGGUUCCACGCCUGGCGUGGUCCCUGAAAAUCAGCGGCGGACCCGUGGCGGCCCUUCCCUUGCGUAGUAGCUUACGCCUCGCAUCGGGAGCCCGCGGGCCUCUAGCCGUCAAAACCCCCUACAAGCCCGCCCCGCGCGGCACAA
rnacentral:misc_RNA from 1 species